UGGGGAAUUUUGGACAAUGGGCGAAAGCCUGAUCCAGCAAUGCCGCGUGUGUGAAGAAGGCCUUCGGGUUGUAAAGCACUUUUGUCCGGAAAGAAAUCCUUGGCUCUAAUACAGUCGGGGGAUGACGGUACCGGAAGAAUAAGCACCGGCUAACUACGUGCCAGCAGCCGCGGUAAUACGUAGGGUGCAAGCGUUAAUCGGAAUUACUGGGCGUAAAGCGUGCGCAGGCGGUUUGCUAAGACCGAUGUGAAAUCCCCGGGCUCAACCUGGGAACUGCAUUGGUGACUGGCAGGCUAGAGUAUGGCAGAGGGGGGUAGAAUUCCACGUGUAGCAGUGAAAUGCGUAGAGAUGUGGAGGAAUACCGAUGGCGAAGGCAGCCCCCUGGGCCAAUACUGACGCUCAUGCACGAAAAGCGUGGGGAGCAAAACAGGAUUAGAUACCCUGGUAGUCCACGCCCUAAAACGAUGUCAACUAGUUGUUGGGGAUUCAUUUCCUUAGUAACGUAGCUAACGCGUGAAGUUGACCGCCUGGGGAGUACGGUCGCAAGAUUAAAACUCAAAUGAAUUGACGGGGUCAUAGCUGUUUCC
rnacentral:rRNA from 1 species